AGAGCGAACGCUGGCGGCAGGCCUAAUACAUGCAAGUCGAACGGAUCCUUCGGGAUUAGUGGCGGACGGGUGAGUAACACGUGGGAACGUACCCUUUGGUUCGGAACAACUCAGGGAAACUUGAGCUAAUACCGAAUGUGCCCUUCGGGGGAAAGAUUUAUCGCCAUUGGAGCGGCCCGCGUCUGAUUAGCUAGUUGGUAGGGUAAAGGCCUACCAAGGCUACGAUCAGUAGCUGGUCUGAGAGGAUGAUCAGCCACACUGGGACUGAGACACGGCCCAGACUCCUACGGGAGGCAGCAGUAGGGAAUCUUGCGCAAUGGGCGAAAGCCUGACGCAGCCAUGCCGCGUGAAUGAUGAAGGUCUUAGGAUUGUAAAAUUCUUUCAGCGGGGACGAUAAUGACGGUACCCGCAGAAGAAGCCCCGGCUAACUUCGCGCCAGCAGCCGC
rnacentral:rRNA from 1 species